rnacentral:rRNA from 1 species
GACGAACGCUGGCGGCGUGCUUAACACAUGCAAGUCGAGCGGUAAGGCCCUUCGGGGUACACGAGCGGCGAACGGGUGAGUAACACGUGAGUAAUCUGCCCAUCACUUCGGGAUAACUCCGGGAAACCGGUGCUAAUACCGAAUAUGACCACUUCAGGCAUCUGAUGGUGGUGGAAAGUUCCGGCGGUGAUGGAUGAGCUCGCGGCCUAUCAGCUUGUUGGUGGGGUAGUGGCCUACCAAGGCUUCGACGGGUAGCCGGCCUGAGAGGGUGACCGGCCACACUGGGACUGAGACACGGCCCAGACUCCUACGGGAGGCAGCAGUGGGGAAUAUUGGACAAUGGGCGAAAGCCUGAUCCAGAAACGCCGCGUGAGGGAUGACGGCCUUCGGGUUGUAAACCUCUUUCAGCAGGGACGAAGCGCAAGUGACGGUACCUGCAGAAGAAGCACCGGCCAACUACGUG